rnacentral:rRNA from 1 species
GGGUGAGUAACGCGUAGGUAACCUGCCUGGUAGCGGGGGAUAACUAUUGGAAACGAUAGCUAAUACCGCAUAAGAGUAGAUGUUGCAUGACAUUUACUUAAAAGGUGCACUUGCAUCACUACCAGAUGGACCUGCGUUGUAUUAGCUAGUUGGUGGGGUAAGGGCUCACCAAGGCGACGAUACAUAGCCGACCUGAGAGGGUGAUCGGCCACACUGGGACUGAGACACGGCCCAGACUC